AGCGAACGCUGGCGGCAGGCCUAACACAUGCAAGUCGAACGAACCUUUCGGGGUUAGUGGCGGACGGGUGAGUAACACGUGGGAACGUGCCUUUAGGUUCGGAAUAACUCAGGGAAACUUGUGCUAAUACCGAAUGUGCCCUUCUGGGGAAAGAUUUAUCGCCUUUAGAGCGGCCCGCGUCUGAUUAGCUAGUUGUGUGAGGUAAUGGCUCACCAAGGCGGCGAUCAGUAGCUGGUCUGGGAGGAGGAUCAGCAACAUUGGGAAGGGGACACGGCCCAAACUCAUACGCGCGGCCGCAGUGGGGAAUCUUGCGCACUGCGCGAAAGCCUGACGCAGCCAGGCCGCGUGAAUGUUGAAGGUCUUAGGAUUGUAAAAUUCUUUCACCGGGGACGACAAUAACGGUACCAGGAGAAGAGGCCCCGGCUAACAUCGU
rnacentral:rRNA from 1 species